UACGUAGGGGGCUAGCGUUGUCCGGAAUCAUUGGGCGUAAAGCGCGUGUAGGCGGUUCGGUAAGUCCGCUGUGAAAGUCGGGGGCUCAACCCUCGGAUGCCGGUGGAUACUGUCGGACUAGAGUACGGAAGAGGCGAGUGGAAUUCCUGGUGUAGCGGUGAAAUGCGCAGAUAUCGGGAGGAACACCAAUUGCGAAGGCAGCUCGCUGGGACGUUACUGACGCUGAGACGCGAAAGCGUGGGGAGCAAACAGG
rnacentral:rRNA from 1 species